UGGGGAAUAUUGCACAAUGGGGGAACCCUGACGGAGCGACGCCGCGUGGACGAUGAAGGCCGGAAGGUUGUAAAGUCCUUUUAUGGCAGAGGAAUAAGCGGGGGAGUGGAAAGCCCGCGCGGUGACUGUAGGCCAUGAAUAAGCACCGGCUAAUUACGUGCCAGCAGCCGCGGUAACACGUAAGGUGCGAGCGUUGUUCGGAAUCAUUGGGCGUAAAGGGCAUGUAGGCGGUCUGUCAGGCCAGGCGUGAAAGCCAGGGGCUCAACCCCUGAACUGCGCUUGGAACUGGCGGACUGGAGUCGCUGAGG
rnacentral:rRNA from 1 species